GAGAGAGAGAGAGAGAGAGAGAGAGAGAGAGAGAGAGAGAGAGAGAGAGAGAGAGAGAGAAAUAAAUGAAUUGUUAUUGAACAUCAUUGAAGCUUGUAGACUGAAGAUACAAGUUUGAUCUUGAGUGUUUAGUGAUAAUUGCACUGCAGCUGUGGCCGGAGGAGACAACAAAAAGCCCAGAGUUAAUCAUGAUGAUGUUAAAUUGAGCUCUAAAGGUUGAAUUAAGUCUGAGCUCAUCCUGUUAACUCUUUGUGUCCAGGUGGAUUUUGAAUUCCCAGAAACGAAGGUACAGACGUGUAACAUUUAAGAAGCGACAGAGUUUUCUGAGCCAAAAGCCAGAUUGAAGCAUGCAUGAAUUAUCCGCUUUAACCUCAAACCACCGGACAAUGAGAAGACACAUUUCUCAAAUGCCUCUGGUUAGAAGGCUUGAACGGUGUCAUUACCUCAGAGGUUCAUUGCUGAGGAAAUUGACUGUUUUGGAAUGCAUCAGUAAAUUAAAGGGCCGUCGCUGAUCUCCUUUGAACCGAAUUGGUGUGGGGCUGUCAUCAUGACAUUUCCUCUCCAGGGAGACUGACCAAUCUGCUCGCUUUACAGUGCGGACGGAUACUGAGUCAUCGGACCUGACCGAACCGGAGUCGAGGCAGGUUCAUUUGCACUGUUUGAGAGACUGAACAGGGACAAACAUGAGAUUAGUGUAUGUGGUAUAUCAUGUAAUGCUGAUAUUCAACAUGUGAAAUAUUCCUUCUGA